rnacentral:misc_RNA from 1 species
GUAGGUGAACCUGCGGAAGGAUCAUUAACACGUAUCCAAACGUUAAACCCCCCCGUGAAUAUUGAAGUUGCUCUCCUGACGUCCUGUGACGGUCUUGCAAAAGCGCGCCCCCAUGGUAUCUCACAUGUUUGUUAUGACUCAUGGAGCCGCGUUAGUCGCAAUGAUAGUCUCAGCACGGAGUGUGGAUCUGAUGCGGCACUGUUACAAGUACUGGCUCGGUUGCCCCUGUUCCUGGUCUGAAAGUGUCCGG